rnacentral:rRNA from 1 species
GAUGAACGCUGGCGGCGUGCCUAAUACAUGCCAGUCGAGCGAACAGACGAGGAGCUUGCUCCUCUGACGUUAGCGGCGGACGGGUGAGUAACACGUGGAUAACCUACCUAUAAGACUGGGAUAACUUCGGGAAACCGGAGCUAAUACCGGAUAAUAUAUUGAACCGCAUGGUUCAAUAGUGAAAGACGGUUUUGCUGUCACUUAUAGAUGGAUCCGCGCCGCAUUAGCUAGUUGGUAAGGUAACGGCUUACCAAGGCAACGAUGCGUAGCCGACCUGAGAGGGUGAUCGGCCACACUGGAACUGAGACACGGUCCAGACUCCUACGGGAGGCAGCAGUAGGGAAUCUUCCGCAAUGGGCGAAAGCCUGACGGAGCAACGCCGCGUGAGUGAAGAAGGUCUUCGGAUCGUAAAACUCUGUUAGUAGGGAAGAAGAAAUGUGUAAGUAACUAUGCACGUCUUGACGGUACCUAAUCAGAAAGCCACGGCUAACUACGUG